AUUGAACGCUGGCGGCAGGCCUAACACAUGCAAGUCGAGCGGAGCGGCGGACGGGUGGGUAAUGCCUAGGAAUCUGCCUGGUCGUGGGGGAUAACGUCCGUAAACGGGCGCUUAUACCGCACACUAUCAGAUGAGCCUAGGUGGGAUUGGCUAGUGGGUGGGGUAAAGGCCUACCAAGGCGACGAUCCGUAACUGGUCUGAGAGGCUGAUCAGUCACACGGGAACUGGGACACGGUCAAGACUCCUACGGGAGGCAGAAGUGGGGAAUAUUGGACAAGGGGGGAAAGCCUGAUGCAGCAAUGCCGCGUGGGUGAAGAAGGUCUUCGGAUUGUAAAGCACGUUGAGUGGGAAGGCGUUACCUAAAGAAUAAGCACCGGCUAACUUCGUGCCAGCAGCCGCGGUAAUUC
rnacentral:rRNA from 1 species